CAGCUAAGAAGAGGAGAAGGAUAGAAAAAACAGGACUAGUAACAAAUGUACGAUCAGUUACCUGUCUUGCCUGUGGUUUAUUGAAGGACUCUGUACAUCCUUCCUGGAGCCAGACCUGCAGUGGGUGCCCCUUGGAUGCAUGCAGCCUCCAGUUCAGCCGAUUGCCAGAACCUUGCUCCUGAGUGAAGAGGUGAGAGUGAAAAGGAAAGAAGCGGCCUUGAGAGCUCCUUAUAAAUGAAUGGAAGAACAUUGCUAAUCUGCUUCACGCUCUCCUGGUGCCAGUUGUCUCUGCAAGGAUGGAAAUUGCUGCUAAAUCAGCAGUCACAGGUUCCAAAUGCAAGGGUCCACCUGGAUGCUCAGGUCAUCUGUGAGGGUCAAGAAGAAGCCAGGACACAGGAGGGCCCUUUCCUAGUUGCAGCUCAUGAGAAAUGGUCUGCUGAAUGUUCAGUGUGACCAGAUGAAGACGAAGGAGCUACAGAGGCAAAGCUUCAGCAGUUCCUGGCUGCAGCACGGAGGUACUGAACAGUUCUCUGCAAUGCUCUGGGGCUCAGACCAAGCGUAGGGCAGCGCCACCAUCAGCAGGAGGGCCCCGUCCUACUCUGGCUUUGCCAAUGAAAUACGGAGAGAACCCUUUCAUACUUAAUGUAUGUGUUUUACUCAUUAAAGAGUGCAAUUUGUGACAGUG
ensembl:lncRNA